GUGCAAGCAGGCAGCCCUGAGCUUGCACCUGAUGUCCCCUCCCUGCAGGUUCCUGUCCUUGAGCCCAGGCCCUGAGGUGAGGCUGAGAAUAAGUGCAAGGCAGAGGUGCUGCUGAGGAAGGAGAGCCCCGUGGUGGGAAAAAACAGAUGAAGCUGUGAAUGCCCAUCCCUGAGCAGGUGCUGUGUCCAUCCCCUGUGUGCCAGGAUUUGUCCUUCCCAAAGCUUGGGCGGAUGGAGGAGGAGGCUGCGAGGAAGAGGAAGAUGCCUUGGGCCCCCCAGGCAGGCCCCGAGCUGAGGACGAAGAGCCCGGAGGACAAAUCCCCCCGUGAGACCCUGGUGGGAGAGGCCGUUUUGAAGGGCUCCACGGCGCAGGAAGGCAGCGGGGAGGAAAAGGGCCGGAGAUCCCCCCGCAGGAGGGGCUCCAAAGCCAUCCCAGGGUGCUCUGAGGAGGAAAGAGCCAG